UUGGAGCCAUGUGAUUUGAGGGUCUAGGAGGAGAGAGCAGAGAGAACCACUCCUGAAAAGGAAUCACUUGGCAGGAAAUGAGAUUUCCUUGGCCUUAGCCUAAAUAUCCUCUCCUCUCCCUCCUUUCCCUCUCCCCUCUCCCUUGGUUAGAGAGACCCUUGAGAACUUUGGAGGAUCAGGAGGAUUUUGGACUUAGUAUCUUCCCAAAGGAUCCUAGCAGCAUUCCUGGAAUAGCUAAUAAUAAUGUCUGCAUCAGGGCCAAAGAACAGCUUGGACAAGAUGAAGGGGAGCAGAUUCAAAGCUCUGUAAAAAUCUCAGAAGAAAAACCAAAGGGAGCAACAUCCAUCCAGCACCCAGCUUCCAGCUAUGGUAUAUAACACAUCUUUACUCUGGCAUUAACUGCGGGUAUGAAAGGCCAAGAAGAAUUAUAUGGGUUGAUCUAAUGCUUUGUGACUAAUGGAUUAUUGUGCUGAUGUCAAGUAUUUCUCCUGGUCUUCUGCAUAAGAUCACCCUAAACUGAAGAGGACCUGUUUAGCACACCUCAGGGGAAAUGUAUUCUGGGAUAGUUAAACCAAGCUCUUUCCAAUUACCUGAACCACAAAUGUCUUUGCCAUUCUUUAAACAACUUUUCUUCCUGUGAAAGCAAUAAAUACAACAAAUGAGAAAAUGA